rnacentral:lncRNA from 7 species
GACAGUGGGACUCAACUAGAAGAUUAUAUCUUCCUUUAUUCUCUGGAGUAUGCUGUGCCAUAAGCUGUCAAUUUAUCCUGGUAUUUUAUACUACCUUCAGAGCAUGAAAGUAGGUCACUGCAGCACAGGAAGGGCCUUGUACAGCAGAAAACAGCCACACAGCCACUGGGGAUGGAGCUGCAUGAGGAACAUAGAGUCAUACUGUGGUUUCAAAGCUGCCUCUGCAUGAGCAACACGGUUCAGCAGAUCCCAGCUCUGGAGACUGUAAUGUCACCCAUGGAGAUGCUGCGUGGGCAUUUCUGCAGCCAGGCUCCAGCGUCAUGCUCAACUGUGCUCAUGGAGUAUGACUCACUUGCUGGGGCUUUGCCUCACUGUUCUGCUCUGCUGGUAGCAUCCUCAGAACAACUUCUGCAUCGCCAAGCUGUGGCCGUGGUGGGUCAGCACCCAGCCCUGUACCCUGCUGGAUCCAAAGCUCAGGCACACUGACAAAGUGCAAUAGCUUUCAGCCCUUGCAGUUCAUGGCUAUUUUUGGAGAAGCAUCUGAAGCUGUCCAGACUUAGCUGAGAUCAAUGGCUCUCGGAGGAACUCAACAAAGCCAAAGCACUUGCAAUUGUUGAAUGCAUGCCAGCAACCCUCAUGGGGCUAAAGCAACAUUAUGUGCCUUUUAAUUACAGCACGUACGGCUGGAGAAAAGAAAUUAUCUCGUCUGUGGCAAGAAGGUGGGACAGGAACGUGCCGAAGUCCUGCUGCAGGAGGAUGGCAUGUACUGUUCCAGGGGAAGAUGACUGGAAUUCCUGAUCACUUGGAACCUGUGGGCACCCACAAAAGGCAGCAAAGUGGAAAUGUGCCACUGCCUUUCAAUGGACGUUGUAGUGCUGAAUGGAUGCUGACGGUGGACAAGGAGGUCUCCUCUGUAGCACUCCCAUUUCCUCAUCAGAAAGGAAGGCAAAGAGACUUGGCUAGUGGUAAAGAUGUUCAACUGGAUUUGAGGCUUUUUUUUUUUUUUUUUUUUAAUGAGAGACUGGCUUCUUUUUUUGUCUUUAUCUCCAAAGGAGUAAAAUUGCUUUUCCUGACUGUAGAAAGAUGCUUCAGGAAUUUAAUGCAAUAGGGUCAUAUUCUGGCUAUCAAUAUUAAUGCUUUAAUCCUGGAUUUGGAAGUGCCUUCUAGAAUGAAACCAGAAAAUUCUGCACUUUUGAAGAGUUAUUAAUAAUACACGAGGAGCAAAAUGUAUCACAUUUGAGCUAUAUAUGUGGAAAGCUCCUAUUGAAACAAGUGUGUCUGAGAUGAUUUAAAGCUCCUGAAAGAAAUCCUGUAUAGGUAAUCUGUAGAUUUAUUGUUAAUUGUUAUCAAAUAGGUACCUAAGGAGCUAAAGGGUUUUAUUUGUGCAAUUGCUUCAUCUUUUCAAAGCGAAGAUGUAUUGAAAGCAGUGGAAGAGUAAAAAUAGAAUUAUUAUGUAAAAUUGUUUUGGAAAGAAAAUAAAGUGUUUUUGCAUCUCAACAUC